rnacentral:rRNA from 1 species
UGAUCCURCCAGUAGUCAUAUGCUUGUCUCAAAGAUUAAGCCAUGCAUGUCUAAGCCUAAAUCCUUGAAUGGUGAAGCCGCGAAUGGCUCAUUAAAUCAGCUAUAAUUGAUUAGAUGUUAUCUGAUCUACAAGGACAACUGUAGUAAUUCUAGAGCUAAUACUUGCCAAUUAUGUCCCGACCUUACGGAAGGGGCGGUUUUAUUAGAACAAAACCACCCAGGCUUCGGUCUGAGUAUUUUGUUGACUCUGGAUAAAAUUUACUAAUCGCACGACCUUGUGUCAGCGAUGUGUCUUUCAAAUGUCUGACCUAUCAGCUAUCGACGGUAGGAUAUUGGCCUACCGUGGCUAUAACGGGUGACGGGGAAUCAGGGUUCGAUUCCGGAGAGGGAGCUUGAGAAACGGCUACCACAUCCAAGGACGGCAGCAGGCGCGCAAAUUACCCACUCCGGCACGGGGAGGUAGUGACAAAAAAUAACAAUACGAGACUCUUUCGAGGCUUCGUAAUUGGAAUGAGUGCAGCUCAAAUACUUUUACAAGUAUCAAUUGGAGGGCAAGUCUGGUGCCAGCAGCCGCGGUAAUUCCAGCUCCAAUAGCGUAUAUUAAAGUUGUUGCAGUUAAAAAGCUCGUAGUUGAAUUCCAAGCGUGGAUUGGCUGGUUUAUCCUUUGGAUGUAACUGGCUGUCCUGCUUAGAAAGUCGUGAACUUUAGAUGAUCUUAACCGAUUGUCUUUUGUGAUCGGCAUGUUUACUUUGAAAAAAUUGGAGUGCUCAAAGCAGGCUGAUGCCUGAACAGUGUUGCAUGGAAUAAUGAAAUAAGACUUCGGUCUUAUUUUGUUGGUUUUAGAGAUCGAAGUAAUGAUUAAAAGGAACUGACGGGGGCAUCUGUAUACCAGGGUUAGAGGUGAAAUUCUUAGAUCCUUGGUAGACAAACUACUGCGAAAGCAUUUGGCCAAGAAUGUUUUCAUUAAUCAAGAACGAAAGUCAGAGGUUCGAAGACGAUCAGAUACCGUCCUAGUUCUGACCAUAAACUAUACCAUCUAGUCAUCUGUGGCGGUCAAUAUAAUAACCCCACAGGCAACUCCCGGGAAACCAAAGACUUUGGGUUCUGGGGGUAGUAUGGUUGCAAAGCUGAAACUUAAAGGAAUUGACGGAAGGGCACCACCAGGAGUGGACCUGCGGCUUAAUUUGACUCAACACGGGAAAACUCACCCGGCCCGGACACUGGGAGGAUUAACAGAUUGAAAGCUCUUUUUUGAUUCGGUGGAUGGUGGUGCAUGGCCGUUCUUAGUUGGUGGAGCGAUUUGUCUGGUUAAUUCCGAUAACGAACGAGAUUCUGGUCUGUUAAAUAGUACACUCGUAUUUGAUGCGAGUGCUGACUUCUUAGAGAGAUAAGCAGCUUUUAGCUGCAUGAAAAAGAGCAAUAACAGGUCUGUGAUGCCCUUAGAUGUCCGGGGCCGCACGCGCGCUACAAUUGACGUCUCAGCGAGUUUGUUCUGUUCGAGAGGAUAGAUAAAACUGUUGAAAUACGUCAAUGACCGGGAUUGUGGCAUGUAAUUAGUCACAUGAACGAGGAAUUCCCAGUAAGGGCACGUCAUCAGCGUGCGCUGAUUACGUCCCUGCCCUUUGUACACACCGCCCGUCGCUACUACCGAUUGAAUGGUUUAGUGAGGUUGUCGGAUUUGUGUUGGUGAUGGGGCAACCUAUUACUGACGUGGAGAAGACAAUCGAACUUGAUCAUUUAGAGGAAGUAAAAGUCGUAACAAGGUUUCCGUAGUGAACCBGCAGAUG